rnacentral:tRNA from 1 species
GCCCCUGUAGCUCAGCGGUAGAGCGUCCCCCUCGUAAGGGGAAGGCCGGCGGUUCGACACCGUCUGGGGGCUCCG